rnacentral:lncRNA from 1 species
AAGUACUUCUGGAAGAACUGGAAAACAAUAUCAGGGUUCUCUAUUGGCUGAGUGUGAAGAUGAUGUGGCUGGUUUUUGUGGAAUGGGUUGGUGGAGUACAGUUUUGUAGAUAUUUAAUGUGGAUAGUUAGUAUAGUCAUAGAAUAUGGGGUGGUGGUGGGACUGUUUGGGUGCAUGAAAGUAGGAUGUGUGAGGUGAUGGUAAUAUGGAAAAUGUGGUUGUAGAAUGUGGAUUGUGGUGGUGUAAUGUUAUGCUUAUGUAUCAGCAAUUAUUAGGAAAUUAAAUCUAGAUCCUUAUGUUCCAUUUCCUAGCUUUUAAUGCCUGGCACAAUUAUUACUUCAGUUUAUGUUCAAGUUCUGUGUAUUUUUCCCUAAGUUGUGGAUGGAAGUGGCUUCAGCAAUGUCUACUUUCAAUAAAUUCCACUUGCUAACCACAUAUAGGAUAUGAGAAUUUCAUUACAUCUCUAGAAUUGUGUUGUAUAUCAAUCCUCCAGUGAUGUGGGGGUGGUAGAUAUGAGUGAUGGUGGUGUAGGGUGUAUCAAUGGUUAUAGUAGUAUAGGUGUAGUGGUGGUGGUAGUAUGUGUUUAGGUGUUUGUUUAGGUAGUAUGUGUUUAGAUGGUGUUUAGGGGAGAGGGAAAUCACGGGUGGAAGGAGCAAGAGGGAAGUCACAGGUGGAAGGAGCAAGAGGGAAGUCACAGGUGGAAGGAGCGAGAGGGAAGUCACAGGUGGAAGGAGCGAGAGGGAAGUCACAGGUGGAAGGAGCGAGAGGGAAGUCACAGCUGGAAGGAGCAAGAGGGAGAAAUGGAUUACCGCAUGCUGAACCCUGUAGGUACAUCUAGGUGCAAACAUACACUUGUCAGGCUGGCUUAUUUCCUCACAAAACAGAAAUGGCAUUAAGCUUACAUCUCUCUUAAAACCAAUCACAUCAGCUAAGAGGAGUCCUGCAUCAGCAGCUGGAGUAGCAGAGAUGAAGAGGUACUGAAGAUCAGGCCAGUACGGGUCACCCUCCUCUGCCAGGCUCCAGGCGUUCCCCUCCACACCCAUCGGACUUGUUAGAGGACCUGGUGAUUUCGGCACUGGUUAAAUACAAGCUGUUGCAUGCAUAUAAAAUGUAAAUGAUUAAUUGUACCUUAACUGUGUUCAACUAUACCCACAGAUACUGCAGAAGAGUAUUACUGUAAAGACCACAGGUCUGAUCAUCAGAGAUACUCUCUACAUCAAAUGUUCAGUCUGUAAGAUGUCAAGUUUUUUAUUAAAUGUAACACAGAUAAAUAUUGUACCUGUAUAAUGCUGAGUGACAGUAAUAACUUGGGGUUGUGGCUUUUAUCUGUUCAUGGAACUACUGAAAUCACUGAUGCACUUGGCAAUAUAAAACUUGACUUUAUGAUUAAUAUAUAUGCAACUGGUACACAAAUUUAAAACUAAUAUUUUUCUGCUGCAAAUGUAAUACUGUACUUGAAGUGUUUGGGAUUAGUCAGACUAUACAACUUGAACUACAUACUGUAUUCCUAAUUUGUUAUUGUAAUAAGUUAAAUUUAAGAUAGUACUUUGUAUGAUAAAAUCUUUAAUAUACUGUACUGAAAUAUA